GUUUAAAAGACAUACCCAAAAGUUGUUUUCCCUGUUGAACAGUCGCUUCCUCUAUUGAGAAGUCACAUUCUUCGACAAUUUCUUCUACUCUCUUUCUCUGACGCACACCUGGAACUCGAAUUCGUCAUCGGAAAUCCAGAAAUAUUUGGUUAGUUUUGUUGGAAUCUUAAGUAGUUUGAUUUUAAAAAAUGCAAAGCGGAGGAGAUGAAGUUGGAGUUGAACAAUUCGCUUCGAAUCUCUCUACUUACGAAAAACAACUUCACCAGCUGUAGGUAAGGCCUUAGAAAAGCGAAAAAGAGAAGAAGCACAGGAAGUAGGUGAAACGAAAUGAUGUAUAGAUAACAAAUGUUGCCUAUAUUACUACCUGAAAGAGGUUACCUAAAAUAUUGCAGAAAGGCUCUACUUUAACAAGGUUUUAAUUUACCUUAUUCAAUUGAGUGAGAUUGGUUCUGACGUUUGGCGGAAUUAGGCAUGGAAAUGGAGAAGGCUUAUCAGAGCAGCGACUUCAACAAAUGUUGCCCCACAUAUUUGUGAAGUUCAUUCACAUAUUGAAGACACUUGUGUUCCGGCCCUUCCCCGGACUCCGCAUAUAGCGGGAGCUUAGUGCACCAGGCUGCCUUUUUAUUCACAUGCUAAAGAUAGACUAUUUUUGAGAUUGUGUAAUAAAGAAAAUACAAAGGAUAUGGAGCUGAAUGCUGCUACUAUGGAUGCAAGUACAGUGCAUUCUUCAGCGUGUUUCAGAGGUUUCAUAUGGUGAGGGCUCAUGAGCAUGAUCUUGAAGAAAGCUUUUAGGGGAUGACGAGCUCCGACAAUAUGGUUCAGAUGUCAUUUAAUAUGUAUUGCGAGAACCCAUAAUGCAGAGCUUGGAAAGGCAGACUCAUGGUCAGAUUCAAUUCUAUGAAUGAAAAAGAAGUCAGCCUCUGAGUGGCAUUACACAUGUGGCAUAUUUUUCGAUUAUAUUUCAUAUGCAAUAUCCUCCGUAUCAGAUGUAAUUUUCACAUGCAAUCCGUAUGCUUUUACUUGGAAAGGCAAACGCAUUGUGAGAUUCAAUUCUAUGAGUGAAAAAGAAGUCAGCCUCUUAGUCCAUAUUAAAAAAAAAGUCAGCAUGAGUGGAAUUACACAUGUGGUAUAUUUGCCGAUUUUAUUUCAUAUGCGAUAUAUCUGUGUAUCAGGUGUAAUUUUACGCAUUAAUUGAAGCGAUUCGCCUGUUUUUAUUUUUCUGGCA